rnacentral:rRNA from 1 species
GAGAAUCAUUCACAAUGGGGGAAACCCUGAUGGUGCGACGCCGCGUGGGGGAAUGAAGGUCUUCGGAUUGUAAACCCCUGUCAUGUGGGAGCAAAUUAAAAAGAUAGUACCACAAGAGGAAGAGACGGCUAACUCUGUGCCAGCAGCCGCGGUAAUACAGAGGUCUCAAGCGUUGUUCGGAAUCACUGGGCGUAAAGCGUGCGUAGGCUGUUUCGUAAGUCGUGUGUGAAAGGUGCGGGCUCAACCCGCGGACGGCACAUGAUACUGCGAGACUAGAGUAAUGGAGGGGGAACCGGAAUUCUCGGUGUAGCAGUGAAAUGCGUAGAUAUCGAGAGGAACACUCGUGGCGAAGGCGGCUUGCUGGGCUCUAACUGACGCUGAGGCUCGAAAGUGUGGGGAGCAAACA